AGGGAAUGUUUGAAGCGCAUCUGAAAAGUUUCUUCGUUCAUUCCAACGACUCAAAAUAUAUCAAAACAUUUAAGCUUGAAAUAAUGACGAACAUCGCUUCGGAAAGUAAUAUAACGUUGCUAUUGCGGGAAUUUCAGUUGCAGUUAUAGUUUGAAGAGCUACAAUAUUUGUUCGUCAAUAACCUCUUGUUUCUGCGUCACCUCCCACAGAGUUCCUUUACCUUAAAAACUUUUCCUCUCUUUAAAAAUUGAUCCUCAUCAUAUAUAGUGGUUAAUCUCUUCGCACACAGUUACCCUUAAUUGCACGAACAUACAUAGCUGCCCUUUAUCCUUCAAAAUACAUAGUUACCCUUAUCAGGUGAGAGC